GGAGUAGUGCGACAGUGGUUACUCGGUCCGACUCGAAUGUCUUAGAACGUGCUUAUCGGAUGCCGUAAGGCACGCAGGUUCGAAUCCUGCCUGCUCCU
rfam:Cryptococcus amylolentus CBS 6039 supercont1.7, whole genome shotgun sequence.